rnacentral:sRNA from 1 species
CUUGCUCUGACAUUCAGAGUUAUUAAUGAACAUCAAGUAAAAGAAAAGCCUUAGAAUCUCUUCGUUAUCGUUGUUAUCCUCUGUGUUUCCCUUAGCUUCAUCGUGACAUUCAAUAAUUCAAGCUUGAGCGCAUCGCAUUUUCGCGACAGAUUGAUUAAUUUUAAUAUAUAAGGGACACAUCAUGUCUAACAAAACAACUGGUUUAGUAAAAUGGUUUAACGAAGAUAAAGGUUUUGGUUUUAUCACUCCUGAUAACGGCGGCGCUGACGUGUUCGUUCAUUUCCGUUCAAUCACUUCAGAGGGUUUCAAGACUCUUGCUGAAGGCCAGAAAGUUUCUUUUGAUGUUGAGCAAGGCCAAAAAGGCCCACAAGCUGCUAACGUAGUAGCUGUGUAACUCGACGUUAUAAGAAUAACGCAAACGGUUUAACGACUGUUUGCGUUUU